rnacentral:rRNA from 1 species
GACGAACGCUGGCGGCGUGCUUAACACAUGCAAGUCGAACGGUGAACCUCUUCGGAGGGGAUCAGUGGCGAACGGGUGAGUAACACGUGGGCAACCUGCCCCCGGCUCUGGGAUAACUCCAAGAAACUGGGGCUAAUACCGGAUGUUCACCGCUUCCCGCAUGGGUGGUGGUGGAAAGGGUUUCCGGCUGGGGAUGGGCCCGCGGCCUAUCAGCUUGUUGGUGGGGUAGUGGCCUACCAAGGCGACGACGGGUAGCCGGCCUGAGAGGGUGACCGGCCACACUGGGACUGAGACACGGCCCAGACUCCUACGGGAGGCAGCAGUGGGGAAUAUUGCGCAAUGGGCGGAAGCCUGACGCAGCGACGCCGCGUGGGGGAUGACGGCCUUCGGGUUGUAAACCUCUUUCAGCAGGGACGAAGCGCAAGUGACGGUACCUGCAGAAGGAGCACCGGCCAACUACGUG